GCCAGCAGCCAUAUCGGCCUGUGACUCACAACUGGCAGCCCACUGAAGCUAAGCAGGUGUGAGCCUGGUCAGUACCAGGAUGAGAGAUCUACCGCAAAAAACAAAGGCUGCUGGUG
rnacentral:rRNA from 1 species